ACGCUUCCUCGGGAAGCGAGCGUACACAGGUGCUGCAUGGCUGUCGUCAGCUCGUGUCGUGAGAUGUUGGGUUAAGUCCCGCAACGAGCGCAACCCUUGCCUUUAGUUGCCAGCAGUUCGGCUGGGCACUCUAAAGGGACUGCCGGUGUUAAACCGGAGGAAGGUGGGGAUGACGUCAAGUCCUCAUGGCCUUUAUGACCAGGGCUACACACGUACUACAAUGGCCGAUACAAAGGGCAGCGACACUGCGAGGUGAAGCCAAUCCCGUAAAAUCGGUCUCAGUCCGGAUUGGAGUCUGCAACUCGACUCCAUGAAGUUGGAAUCGCUAGUAAUCGUGGAUCAGCAUGCCACGGUGAAUACGUUCCCGGGCCUU
rnacentral:rRNA from 1 species